rnacentral:rRNA from 1 species
GAUGAACGCUAGCUACAGGCUUAACACAUGCAAGUCGAGGGGAAACGGCAUUACGUGCUUGCCCUUUUUGGACGUCGACCGGCGCACGGGUGAGUAACGCGUAUCCAACCUUCCCAUGACUAAGGGAUAACCUGCCGAAAGGCAGACUAAUACCUUAUGGUCUUCACUGACGGCAUCAGAUGUGAAGUAAAGAUUUAUCGGUUAUGGAUGGGGAUGCGUCUGAUUAGCUUGUUGGCGGGGUAACGGCCCACCAAGGCAACGAUCAGUAGGGGUUCUGAGAGGAAGGUCCCCCACAUUGGAACUGAGACACGGUCCAAACUCCUACGGGAGGCAGCAGUGAGGAAUAUUGGUCAAUGGGCGAGAGCCUGAACCAGCCAAGUAGCGUGCAGGAGGACGGCCCUAUGGGUUGUAAACCGCUUUUGUAUGGGGAUAAAGUCAAUCACGUGUGAUUGUUUGCAGGUACCAUACGAAUAAGGACCGGCUAAUUCCGUG